rnacentral:rRNA from 1 species
AGUGAACGCUGGCGGUAGGCCUAACACAUGCAAGUCGAACGGCAGCACAGUAAGAGCUUGCUCUUACGGGUGGCGAGUGGCGGACGGGUGAGGAAUACAUCGGAAUCUACUUUUUCGUGGGGGAUAACGUAGGGAAACUUACGCUAAUACCGCAUACGACCUACGGGUGAAAGCAGGGGAUCUUCGGACCUUGCGCGAUUGAAUGAGCCGAUGUCGGAUUAGCUAGUUGGCGGGGUAAAGGCCCACCAAGGCGACGAUCCGUAGCUGGUCUGAGAGGAUGAUCAGCCACACUGGAACUGAGACACGGUCCAGACUCCUACGGGAGGCAGCAGUGGGGAAUAUUGGACAAUGGGCGCAAGCCUGAUCCAGCUAUACCGCGUGGGUGAAGAAGGCCUUCGGGUUGGAAAGCCCUUUUGUUGGGAAAGAAAAGCAGCAGGUUAAUACCCCGCUGUUCUGACGGUACCCAAAGAAUAAGCACCGGCUAACUUCGUG